AGAGAGAGAGAGAGAGAGAAACAACAUCCUCACAUAUAAAUUUAUUUUAAGAUUUCCUUAAACAUUCUUCAAGAUUCAAAACAUUAACAGUAAAGAGAAAAAAAAAAUAAGAUUAAUAUUUCAUGUUACUAUGCAAUCAAUCCAUUAGAAGCAACAAGGAGAAACAACCCUCUUACAGACAAAUUUAUAAUUUAUUUAUGAUGAUUUUUCAUUUUUGUUUUAGUCACUGUACUUGUAAUAUUUCUUUAAUUGAGAACUCCGAAUCCCUGAUCAGUGUCAUCAUGCUUUCAUAAUAAAUCUAAAAUGCAUUUUAGAUGUGGCCCAUCACUCCUAAUUAGCAUUCCUGCUUGAGCAUAUAUGUUACUGAAACAACUAUUUGGGUAAAAAAAAAAUUGACAAAUACUUGCAAAUUGAACAUAGAUCAAGAUUUAGGCUGGAAGAAAACGAGAGAAUAUUGAACAACAUGCUAUAAUUACC
rnacentral:misc_RNA from 1 species